rnacentral:rRNA from 1 species
UACGGGGGGGGCAAGCGUUGUUCGGAAUUACUGGGCGUAAAGGGCUCGUAGGUGGCCAACUAAGUCAGACGUGAAAUCCCUCGGCUUAACCGGGGAACUGCGUCUGAUACUGGAUGGCUUGAGUUCGGGAGAGGGAUGCGGAAUUCCAGGUGUAGCGGUGAAAUGCGUAGAUAUCUGGAGGAAUACCGGUGGCGAAGGCAGCUUACUAGGCUGUAACUGACGCUGAGGCACGAAAGUGUGGGGAUCAAACAGG